GCCAACUUGCUGUGGUGGUUCCUAUUCCCUCUUCGCCACUAGUGUGUCUUUAUGUAUUUGCAUCAUUGUCCUGAAUUCGUUUAAAAUUAUAGCCUCAGGUAUACAAGUAUUACUAAAUCGUGACCUUGAAAUAUGGAAUGAGACCUAUACUAUUGUUUUCUUCGCUGACAAUUUGACAAGUUGUCUCUUUAUUUUGGUUUGUGUCUUGAUCAUUGUAAAAUCCUGGAGGGGAUGUCAAUUCAUGUUAAAGGGAACGAUAUCUCUAUUUUCAAUAUUGACGUUAUGUCGCAU